GUCCGGUUGGCUCAAUGGUAGAGCAUCUGUCUUCGGAACAGAAGGUUGAGGGUUCGAGUCCCCCACCGGAUA